CGUGAGCAACCUGCCUUGGAGUGGGGAAUAACAGCUGGAAACAGUUGCUAAUACCGCAUAAUGCAGCGAGGGGACAUCCUCUUGCUGCCAAAGAUUUAUCGCUCUGAGAUGGACUCGCGUCUGAUUAGCUGGUUGGCGGGGUAACGGCCCACCAAGGCGACGAUCAGUAGCCGGACUGAGAGGUUGACCGGCCACAUUGGGACUGAGAUACGGCCCAG
rnacentral:rRNA from 1 species